GAUGAACGCUAGCGACAGGCUUAACACAUGCAAGUCGAGGGGCAGCACAGGGCAGCAAUGUCUGGGUGGCGACCGGCGCACGGGUGCGUAACGCGUAUGCAACCUGCCCUCCAGCCUGGGAUAACCCGGCGAAAGUCGGACUAAUACCGGAUGAAACAGGGGCUCCGCAUGGGGCUAUUUGUUAAAGAUUUAUUACUGGAGGAUGGGCAUGCGUUCCAUUAGGUAGUUGGGGGGGUAACGGCCCACCAAGCCAUCGAUGGAUAGGGGUUCUGAGAGGAAGGUCCCCCACACUGGUACUGAGACACGGACCAGACUCCUACGGGAGGCAGCAGUGAGGAAUAUUGGUCAAUGGGCGCGAGCCUGAACCAGCCAAGUCGCGUGAAGGAAGACGGCCCUAUGGGUUGUAAACUUCUUUUAUGGGGGAAUAAAGUGCAGGACGUGUCCUGUUUUGUAUGUACCCCAUGAAUAAGCAUCGGCUAACUCCGUGCCAGCAGCCGCCGUAACAC
rnacentral:rRNA from 1 species